rnacentral:misc_RNA from 1 species
GAAAUGCGAUAAGUAAUGUGAAUUGCAGAAUUCAGUGAAUCAUCGAAUCUCUUUCUCGCUGAGCUUUUAGCUAAAGGCUGGGUUAGCCCUUAAACCCCCCAACUCCUCAGGAACUUUUUGGUUCUUGUGAACUUGAGCUCAAAUCAGGUAGGAUUACCCGCUGAACUUAA